rnacentral:rRNA from 1 species
UACGGAGGGGGCUAGCGUUGUUCGGAAUUACUGGGCGUAAAGCGCACGUAGGCGGCUUUGUAAGUUAGAGGUGAAAGCCCAGGGCUUAACCCUGGAAUUGCCUUUAAGACUGCAUCGCUAGAAUCGUGGAGAGGUGAGUGGAAUUCCGAGUGUAGAGGUGAAAUUCGUAGAUAUCGGUUAGAACACCUGAGGCGAAGGCGGCUAUCUGGCGGUACAUUGACGCUGAGGCGGCGAAAGCGUGGGAGCAACAGG